rnacentral:lncRNA from 12 species
GGCAAGAUUGCAUGUUUAUCUGUGUGUUGUGUGUGUGCGUGCACAUUUUUUUUUCUUAGCAGAGGAUGCACAUAGAUUUAAUCGCAUUCUUAGAGGAGUCCAGCACACUGGAAAGGUUACAGGACUGGUAAGGGGGUGCCACCCUGUUUGAUGGGUUUUCACAAGUUCCCUCUGGUCUAAAUGUCUCUCUUACUCAGACACUUCUCUCAUGGAAAUUCUACUCGUGGAGAUUCAUUUCCAAUGAAUGGGUAGUGAGCACGGAUCUCUGUGGACAUCAUCUUUCCCACAACAUUCGGGAAAUGUUUACUGAGCUUCUUCUGUGUAUAGGGCACCGAACCGAGGACUAAAGACCCAGCAGCAGAUGGACUGAAGCUUGCAGUAGUGUGGUGGAUGGGGAGUGGAAGACAGAUGCUAGGAUAACAGAAGUGCACUAUCUUUUGGGAGCAUGCUGGGUAACCUCACCCACUCCGGGGCAGUGGAGAAACUCUCAGCGGGGAAGACAAUGAGCCAUCCUGGGCUGCUGACCUCUGCACCGAUGUGAAUGCGCACAUUAGCCAGCAGGCUGGUGUGAAUGAACAGAAGGUCCUUGUCACGAGGAUGCUGCCAUGUCCCAUAAAAAAGAACAAUCUGCUAAAAACAAUAAAAAAAAUCCUUUAUGUCUUAUUGGGACACCGGCUUGGAAGUAAGGAGGAUCAGACAACGAAUUUAGCAAUUUCCAGGACUCAGAGCAGGAGGAAAGCACCUCCCAGUGUCCCCAAUAUCGCCAGCAGCAGGCGCAGCGCAGCGGCCUCAACCUCAGCCGACGCCUCACCACCACGUCAACGAUACAUGUCGUCCUUGUGGCCCUUUUGCAAAGACCUCUGCUCUUUUCCAACAGGAGUGAGCUAUGUGUCUACGAUUAAAACUGCAACUAUUGCCAUACAGUUUUUUUGUAGGGUGUUAUGGUCUUUCUGGAAUGUACGGCAGUCGCUCUGUGUCAUUUUUCACUUCGUUGGCGUUCUCAUCAUUUGACCCUUCUAUGCUGUUUGACUUUUCUCUGUCUAGAUCUUGCCUUCCCGACUGGCUUGUUGGUGCUUUGGGAAAAGAGAGCCCUGGGUCUUUCUGAUGCAUUCUGUUUCCUCACCAAGGAUGAUUCUGGGUUUCACAGAGGAAACUACCUGGGCCUGUGUUGGACUGUCUUUCAAAUGACAUUUUGGUCACAUAAGACUAGAGAUAACCCUUUUCUGUGUCCCCAUCUCUGCUGUAGGCAUCAUGGUUGCUGAGGGUUAGGGGUUUUUGAGGAUCACUUAAACCCAGAUUUACAGCCAAAUGUGUAAAAUGCUGACAGCUAAAUUGGACAGAUUAACUAAAAUGAGGCUAAUGGUGACUAAGUAGAGUUUGGGAAGGUGAAGGAAGGGAUUCUACUUUAAUCUGCGAUGUAAGCAUUGCAACAUCUUAUUUUUCAUAGCCACUGCCUGUUUCCUUGGCAAGAAGAUUUCUUCCCUACGUGGCUUGAGUUUUUUCAUCUUGAUUGAAUAAACAUUUGGCUCAGGAUCCA